GCCCCGAUUGGCUCAGCUGGUUAGAGCGUCAUACUAAUAAUGCGAAGGUCAACAGUUCAAUCCUGUUACUGGGCA
rnacentral:tRNA from 1 species